rnacentral:rRNA from 1 species
UGGGGAAUAUUGGACAAUGGGCACAAGCCUGAUCCAGCCAUGCCGCGUGAGUGAUGAAGGCCCUAGGGUUGUAAAGCUCUUUCACCGGUGAAGAUAAUGACGGUAACCGGAGAAGAAGCCCCGGCUAACUUCGUGCCAGCAGCCGCGGUAAUACGAAGGGGGCUAGCGUUGUUCGGAAUUACUGGGCGUAAAGCGCACGUAGGCGGACAUUUAAGUCAGGGGUGAAAUCCCGGGGGCUCAACCCCCGGAACUGCCUUUGGAUACUGGGUGUCUAGAGUUCGAGAGAGGUGAGUGGAAUUCCGAGUGUAGAGGUGAAAUUCGUAGAUAUUCGGAGGAACACCAGUGGCGAAGGCGGCUCACUGGCUCGAUACUGACGCUGAGGUGCGAAA